rnacentral:rRNA from 1 species
CCUACGGGUGGCUGCAGUGAGGAAUAUUGGUCAAUGGGCGCGAGCCUGAACCAGCCAAGCAGCGUGAAGGAUGACUGCCCUACGGGUUGUAAACUUCUUUUAUAAAGGAAUAAAGUGAGGCACGUGUGCCUUUUUGUAUGUACUUUACGAAUAAGGAUCGGCUAACUCCGUGCCAGCAGCCGCGGUAAGACGGAGGAUCCGAGCGUUAUCCGGAUUUAUUGGGUUUAAAGGGAGCGUAGAUGGGUUGUUAAGUCAGGUGUGAAAGUUUGCGGCUCAACCGGAAAAUUGCAAUUGAUACUGGCAGUCUGGAGUACAGUUGAGGUAGGCGGAAUUCGUGGUGUAGCGGUGAAAUGCGUAGAUAUCACGAAGAACACCGAUUGCGAAGGCAGCUUACUAAACUGCAACUGACAUUGAGGCUCGAAAGUGUGGGUAGCAAACAGGAUUAGAUACCCCAGUAGUC